CCCCUCUCAGGGUCAGUCCUGGAGAGUUUCCAGUACUCUACCAGUCUCGACUACGGGAGGGAGAGUCAAACAGAGGCAUACCCAUUCCAUUCUUAGCUUGGUCAGUGGCCAGUGAGUGGAAGUCAAUCUGCUGCAAGU